UACUAGCGGUCCAAGUCGCAGCCAUCUUUAUUGGGUCUAAAACAUCCGUAGCUUGUUUGAUAAGUUUCCUGUGAAAUCUGGUUUCUCAAGAAUUGGGCGUGCAGGAAAUACUGUCAAGCUAGAGACUGGGAGACGUAAGAAGUAUGUUCGAAGUAGCGGUAAAAUGUUUUAAUCUCAAACAGACUCACAAUAGCGAAGGCAUCUUACGAGAACAGUUCUGACAGUAAGGGAUGAAGGCUAGGGGCGCAAAACGGAUUAGAUACCCCAGUA
rnacentral:rRNA from 1 species